ACGAAGGGUGCAAGCGUUACUCGGAAUUACUGGGCGUAAAGCGUGCGUAGGUGGUCUGCUAAGUCAGACGUGAAAUCCCUCAGCUUAACUGGGGAACUGCGUCUGAGACUGGCGGACUUGAGGACAGGAGAGGAACGCGGAAUUCCAGGUGUAGCGGUGAAAUGCGUAGAUAUCUGGAGGAACACCGGUGGCGAAGGCGGCGUUCUGGACUGUUUCUGACACUGAUAGACGAAAGCCAGGGGAGCAAACGGGA
rnacentral:rRNA from 1 species